UUAACUCAAUUUUGUAUGGAAUUGGAAAGUUUGUCUACGUUUGCCGCCAGGGGCGCUGUUCCAAAUGCAUGCAAAUUUGAGUUA
rnacentral:pre_miRNA from 1 species